CAUUGAGUCGGAUAAUCCGCGACUUAGGAGAAUCACUGGAACGAUACAGCUGGGGCGAAGUAUAAAGUAUUCCAUGGAUGCAUGGGCCAUUAUUUUCAUAUUUUCCCAAUGGGCAUUGAAGCGCUUGGAACUUGAAGUGAACAGAGGACUGGAAGUGGGGCAGAGGAGACGCAGUUGUAUUUUAGCUCCAGGUCCAGAUAAGCAGUGAAACGGGACAAGAGGUGC